AACGAACGCUGGCGGCAGGCCUCAAAACAUGCAAGUCUAGGGGGGUGUAGCAAUACAUCACCGGCGGACGGGUGCGUAACGCGUGGGAAUAUACCUAUUGGUUCGGAACAACACAGGGAAACUUGUGCUAAUACCGAAUGUGCCCUUACGGGGAAAGAUUUAUCGCCAAUGGAUUAGCCCGCGUCCGAUUAGCUAGUGGUGAGGUAACGGCUCACCAAGGCUCCGAUCGGUAGCUGUUCUGAGAGGAAGAUCAGCCACACUGGGACUGAGACACGGCCCAGACUCCUACGGGAGGCAGCAGUUGGGAAUCUUGGACAAUGGGGGAAACCCUGAUCCAGCCAUGCCGCGUGAGUGAUG
rnacentral:rRNA from 1 species